rnacentral:rRNA from 1 species
UACGAAGGGGGCUAGCGUUGCUCGGAAUCACUGGGCGUAAAGGGUGCGUAGGCGGGUCUUUAAGUCAGGGGUGAAAUCCUGGAGCUCAACUCCAGAACUGCCUUUGAUACUGAGGAUCUUGAGUUCGGGAGAGGUGAGUGGAACUGCGAGUGUAGAGGUGAAAUUCGUAGAUAUUCGCAAGAACACCAGUGGCGAAGGCGGCUCACUGGCCCGGUACUGACGCUGAGAGGCGAAAGCGUGGGGAGCAAACAGG